UCCUAUAUGGUGUAGUGGCUAACAUUACCGCCUUUCACGCGGUAGCCCAGGGUUCGAUUCCCUGUAUAGGAG